rnacentral:rRNA from 1 species
UACAGAGGGUGCGAGCGUUAAUCGGAAUUACUGGGCGUAAAGCGUGCGUAGACGGUUAUUUAAGUCCGUUGUGAAAGCCCUGGGCUCAACCUGGGAAUGGCAGUGGAUACUGGAAAGCUAGAGUGCGGUAGAGGGUAGUGGAAUUCCCGGUGUAGCAGUGAAAUGCGUAGAGAUCGGGAGGAACACCAGUGGCGAAGGCGGCUACCUGGACCAGCACUGACACUGAGGCACGAAAGCGUGGGGAGCAAACAGG